rnacentral:misc_RNA from 1 species
GGCUUGUUCUCUUUUCGACGGUAAUUUUCGCCUUUCUAUGCUGUGACUCCUCUUGACUUUGAUCGCGAACUUUGGGACAUGAUGGAUGCUCUUUCUCAUCCUGAUCGAGAUGUGCUUUCAGCGAUGGGAUUGGAGCCUCUCUACUGUCUCCGCCGCGUGGCAGUGAAUGAGAACAUGAGUUGGGCUGCUGCUCGCAAUUGGGAUUCACGAGAUCCUGUUAGUACAUGUGAUUAACCAAUUGAGAGAUGGACACAACCCAAGGAGGAUCGUCUUAGCAGAGACUAUCGAUGGAUUGGAUGCCUUAGCCGCAGUCCAUGCUGCCAAGAGAAUAGGUAGCCCCCUACUUCUGCAUAUGUGGAUCUGUGAACACUUUCGGAUUCUCCCCCAAUGAUAAAACCUAUCUCCCAAGGAUGUACAUGGAGCGUUAUCCGAGCUUAUGAUGAUGAG